AGGACGAACGCUGGCGGCGUGCUUAACACAUGCAAGUCGAGCGGAAAGGCCUUUCGGGGUACUCGAGCGGCGAACGGGUGAGUAACACGUGAGUAAUCUGCCCAUCGCUUCAGGAUAGCCAUCGGAAACGGUGAUUAAUACUGGAUAUGACAUUCCUUCGCAUGUUGGGGUGUGGAAAGUUUUUUCGGCGGUGGAUGUGCUCGCGGCCUAUCAGCUUGUUGGUGGGGUAAUGGCCUACCAAGGCUUUGACGGGUAGCCGGCCUGAGAGGGUGACCGGCCACGACUGGGACUGAGACACGGCCCAGACUCCUACGGGAGCAGCAGUGGGAAUAUGGACAAGUGGGCGGAAGCCUGAUCCAGCAACGCCGCGUGAGGAUGACGGCCGUUCGGGUUGUAAACCUCUUCAGCACACGACGAAGUUUUGUCGUUUUGGUAGUAAGUGUACGGUAUGUGUACAAG
rnacentral:rRNA from 1 species